AGUACAAGCCAAAUUAAGGUGAAACCGCAAAAGGCUCAUUAAAUCAGUUAUGGUUCCUUAGGUCGUACCCACAAUUACUUGGAUAACUGUGGUAAUUCUAGAGCUAAUACAUGCAAACAGAGCUCCGACCGGAGACGGAAGGAGUGCUUUUAUUAGAUCAAAACCGAUCGGUGGCGGGUUCGCCCGUCAUCGUAUAACCUGUUGAGUUUAAAUAACUUUACGCUGAUCGCACGGUCAUCGCACCGGCGACGCACCUUUCAAAUGUCUGCCUUAUCAACUGUCGAUGGUAGGUUCUACGCCUACCAUGGUUGUAACGGGUAACGGGGAAUCAGGGUUCGAUUCCGGAGAGGGAGCCUGAGAAACGGCUACCACAUCCAAGGAAGGCAGCAGGCGCGCAAAUUACCCACUCCCGGCACGGGGAGGUAGUGACGAAAAAUAACGAUACGGGACUCAUCCGAGGCCCCGUAAUCGGAAUGA
rnacentral:rRNA from 1 species